rnacentral:piRNA from 1 species
UUACUCACCUCUUCCUUUUCUUUCCAGUGA